UACGAGGGGGGCAAGCGUUGUUCGGAAUUACUGGGCGUAAAGGGCGCGUAGGCGGCCGAUCAAGUCAGGCGUGAAAUUCCCGGGCUCAACCUGGGGGCUGCGCUUGAUACUGAUUGGCUUGAAUGCGGGAGAGGAUAGUGGAAUUCCCAGUGUAGAGGUGAAAUUCGUAGAUAUUGGGAAGAACACCGGUGGCGAAGGCGGCUAUCUGGCCCGUAAUUGACGCUGAGGCGCGAAAGCGUGGGGAGCAAACAGG
rnacentral:rRNA from 1 species